rnacentral:rRNA from 1 species
UUGCAGUUAAAAAGCUCGUAGUUGGAUUUCUGGUCGAAGCAGCCGCCCGGCUUCAAGUAAGUUUGUGGCAGGCGCCUCGGCCAUUUUUGUAAAGACUAUAUCUGUCAUUAAGUUGGUGGGUAUAGGACUUGCAUCAUUUACUGUGAGCAAAAUAGAGUGUUCAAAGCAGGCUUAGGCCAUGAAUAUCUUAGCAUGGAACAAUAAGAUAAGACCUUGGUCUAUUUUGUUGGUUAGCAUUCCGAGGUAAUGAUUAAUAGGGAUAGUUGGGGGUAUUCGUAUUCAAUUGUCAGAGGUGAAAUUCUUGGAUUUAUUGAAGACGAACUACUGCGAAAGCAUUUACCAAGGAUGUUUUCAUUAAUCAAGAACGAAAGUUAGGGGAUCGAAGAUGAUUAGAUACCAUCGUAAUCUUAACCAUAAACUAUGCCGACUAGGGAUUAGUGGAC